AAGUGAUCCACCAGCCUCAGCCUCCCAAAGUGCUGGGAUUACAGAUCAAGCCACCAAUAUCUGAGAGAGAAAUGCUGGCUUCAGGAGAGCUCAAGUCAGAGGAUCCCAGCAGGGAUUUUAUACCCUUCUGGGGUAACACAGUUGAGCCAGAGUGCCUACCUAAUCAUGUAUGCCAACCAGAAACCAUCAGCAGUCAAACUUGCCCUCCAUAUUGUCAUGGGAUCUUCCAGAUGUUAAACAAUAAUAAUAAAGCUCACUGCAUUUAAAUGUCAAAA